rnacentral:lncRNA from 1 species
UGCCUAAAUAUAAGCAAGCACAUAUCCCUUGAACUAAAGAGAUAGUUUCAUUAACCAAGAUAGUUCAAUGACAAGCAUGUGAGCAAUGGAAAAAUUUAUCAAGGUCAAGUCAAUUUUUAUUUUCAGAAUCAAUUUAGCUUAGAUUCUAUUUGCUUAAGAUAAUUAUCAAUAAGACAUAUUAGCUAAGUUUUAAUCAAUUUUAUCUUAAUCAGUUGUUUCUAUCAAAAAUUCAGAUUAUUACAUAGAAUCAAAGUGAUAAACUAUAUUCUCAAUAAAAGAUCUGGUUUUAAUAAGAAUAAUAUAAAUUGAUCUUUCUACAACUAGUAUCUUUUCAUUGAAUAUUCUAUAUGCAUUGCUUAAAGAGUAAUAUCCAAAGAAAUACUUGUUUUAUCAGAUUUGGCAUAUAUUUCAUUCUUGAGAACAUGAUAUGUAUAACUGA